CAAAUACUCCCUCCUUUCCAAAUUACUCGUCGUAGAAAUGGAUGUAUCUAGAACUAAAAUACAUCUAGAUACAUUCAUUUCUGCGACGAGUAAUUCGGAACGGAGGGAGUAGUUC
rnacentral:pre_miRNA from 1 species